GCAGGCGCGAACACGCGCCCAGGGCGAGGCGCACAAACACUGGAGGGCGCCGGAAGUCCGCCUGCCAGGGCUCACAGCGAGGAGCCAGACACGCCGCCGGACUCUAUUGCCCAUAAGCCUCUGCGCCGUCAAGUUAGGGAACGUCGUAAAUGUAUCCGCUUCAUCAGGCGGUUAAGAGGUGCUGUGCUGAGAGGACUGGCUGCCUGGAGCGGGAACUCAAGUCGCAUUUGUCUUCGUUCCUGUUAAGGAUCAAGGAAAGCUGGAGGAUGUCCGCAGCCCGGAGCAGCUUGGAAGCGCCGCGCAUGAGCAGUGCCGCCCUCAGUCUGCAUCCGGCCGCCAGUUCUCACCUCCUCCACGUGAGCUGCCCGGGUCUCCGCGGAAGACUGGGGUGCCCUCUGUACCUCACUCCUCUCUGCCGGGGGGGGGUGAACCCCAGCUGCUGUGACCACCUCAACACCCAACUCUGUCCCUUCAGCCCGGAGACACACUGGGGUCCUCAGGCCCCUUGCCCUGAACUGUGGCCUGGAUUCUCUUUGGAAGUAUGGUACAAGUUUUGUUGAGGAAAUCCUCUAAAAAAGGGAAUAAAUAUUGAUUUAUUCAGAUGAGUGGGAUGUCCAGCCCUCUCCCUCUCUCCAAAUGGCUAAAACUGUCAUUUCAUGUAUGUCCCCAUUUUAAGCUUGUUUGAGCUGGGAUGAUAAACCUAGAUCCCGUGAUUCCACUUUGACCAGAAGCAGCGAACGUCCGCCUUUGACUUUGGCUUCAUUACGAUCUCUUCAUAUAUGGGUACUUAGACUAUAAAGACUUUAG
rnacentral:lncRNA from 9 species